rnacentral:rRNA from 1 species
CACGUAGGGGGCGAGCGUUGUCCGGAUUCAUUGGGCGUAAAGCGCGCGCAGGCGGCUCGGAAAGUCGGGUGUGAAAACUCGGGGCUCAACCCCGGGCGUGCAUCCGAUACUGCCGGGCUUGAGGCAGGUAGGGGAGAUCGGAAUUCCUGGUGUAGCGGUGAAAUGCGCAGAUAUCAGGAGGAACACCGGUGGCGAAGGCGGAUCUCUGGGCCUGUCCUGACGCUGAGGCGCGAAAGCUAGGGGAGCGAACAGGAUUAGAUACCCUGGUAGUCCUAGCCGUAAACGAUGGGUGCUAGGUGUGGGGCGGCGAUUGACUCGCCCUGUGCCGGAGCUAACGCAUUAAGCACCCCGCCUGGGGAGUACGGCCGCAAGGCUAAA